GGAGUCCAGAUUAGCUAGUGCUCAAAGCACCUGAACUCCCAGGUGGGUUUCAGCAAAGCAUUUCUAAACACAAGGUGUCGAGAAGCCCCCAUCCACCACCGGCAGAGAAAGCCCAAGUACCACAAUAGACCCAGUGCAGCCAAAAUUAAAAAAAUAAACAGAAGGUGAAGGAGGGAAGUGGCAGGGUAUAUGAUCAGCUUGUGCCCAGUUCUCUGGCUGACUGAUGAUGUGGUAACAGGGUCCUGUGACAGGGGUUAACUUUAUCCGUCCUCAGUCUUCAGUAGGUCUGUGGGCUGUGUACUCAUAGUCAUCAAAGAGUUAAUUUCUUCCAUCUGGUGGAGUUUUUUUCACAUCUGUAAAACAGCUCAGGAAAUGUGCAUCAGAUACUAUUAUCUAGAUACUUCAGAGAAGAGCUAAAGCAGAGGAUAUUAGGGAGAGGUCUGUCCCAGGAAGGCCCCACAGGGUCCUGCUCCAUUACAGAUCCCCUGGUUGCCCAGGCGAUGAUGAAGGAAUCCAGCAAAUUUUAUCUGCCCUUUCAAGAGUCCUGCUUGAGAGAAGGGCUUAGUAGAGAUGUUAUGAUUAUCAACUGUCAGGCUUGGGUUAAGAGCACGGAGGCACUGAGCCAAGCAGGCCCUGGUGGAUUGCCUUUCCUCUCUCCAUGCCCUCGACUCACCUUUGGCCCUUAUGGGAUCCCAGACUGCAACUCACCUGGCUGGAGAAGGUGGCUCAUGACUUUCUCUCCUGAUCAGAAGAGAAGAGAUUUGACAAUCCAGUUCACCAGCAGGGCAUAAGACUCAGAGGGCUGGACUUGAGAAAAGAGGAAGGAAGACUAGAGACAGAUGUCUGAGUAAUCAUGGAACCAUGAGAGGACAAACGUCUGGCAAAGACUGAUCUUCAGAGUAUUUCAGAUGAUCUCUGGGGAUAGAGGUGAUACCAUGAGGGAGCAGGCACAGAAGUUCCCCAACCAGAGAUUGAACCUAUGCCCCUGCAGUGGAAGCAUGGUGUCCUAAACACUGGACUGUCAGAGAAUUCCCGGAUUUCACUGUCUAAUGAGAAGACAUGGAUAAACUGCCAGACACAAUUCGAGGCGGUAUGUACCUGCUGCUGUUGAGACGGCUGAGUCCUGGAAUGGCAUUAUUCAUCCUUCUUGGAGAAGGGAUAGGCUAUCCACUCCAGCAUUCUUGGGCUUCCCUUGUGGC
ensembl:lncRNA